CGUAGGUGGCAAGCGUUAUCCGGAUUUAUUGGGUUUAAAGGGUGCGCAGGUUGUUUGAUAAGUCAGUGGUGAAAGUCUGUCGCUUAACGGUAGGAUUGCCAUUGAUACUGUUAGACUUGAAUAUGGAUGAGGUAGGCGGAAUGUGUAGUGUAGCGGUGAAAUGCAUAGAUAUUACACAGAACACCGAUUGCGAAGGCAGCUUACUAAUCCAUCAUUGACGCUGAGGCACGAAAGCGUGGGGAGCAAACAGGA
rnacentral:rRNA from 1 species